rnacentral:rRNA from 1 species
UACGAAGGGGGCUAGCGUUGUUCGGAUUUACUGGGCGUAAAGCGCACGUAGGCGGAUCGAUCAGUCAGGGGUGAAAUCCCAGGGCUCAACCCUGGAACUGCCUUUGAUACUGUCGAUCUGGAGUAUGGAAGAGGUGAGUGGAAUUCCGAGUGUAGAGGUGAAAUUCGUAGAUAUUCGGAAGAACACCAGUGGCGAAGGCGACAUACUGGCUCAUUACUGACGCUGAGGCGCGAAAGCGUGGGGAGCAAACAGG